AUGGCAAAACCCAGCAAGAAGAUUGUGCUGAAGCUACAAUGCCAGUGCUGCAAGAACUACUCCCAGCGUGUCAUCAAGAGGUGCAAGCAUUUUGAGAUCGAUGGAGACAAGUAG
rnacentral:rRNA from 1 species